GAGGGCACAGCUGUGUGGUAAAGUGCAUGCUUAGCAUGCGUGAGGUCCUGGGUUCAAUCUCCAGUACCUCUA
rnacentral:tRNA from 1 species